rnacentral:rRNA from 1 species
UACGGGAGGCAGCAGUAGGGAAUAUUGGGCAAUGGCCGAGAGGCUGACCCAGCCAUGCCGCGUGCAGGAAGAAGGCCUUCUGGGUUGUAAACUGCUUUUACCAGGGAAGAAAACGCNCCUGCGGGGGUAACUGACGGUACCUGGUGAAUAAGCACCGGCUAACUCCGUGCCAGCAGCCGCGGUAAUACGGAGGGUGCAAGCGUUGUCCGGAUUUAUUGGGUUUAAAGGGUGCGUAGGCGGCCCGUUAAGUCAGCGGUGAAAUCCCGGGGCUCAACCCCGGAACUGCCGUUGAUACUGGCGGGCUUGAGUUCGGUCGAGGCGGGCGGAACUGGCGGUGUAGCGGUGAAAUGCUUAGAUACCGCCAAGAACCCCGAUUGCGUAGGCAGCUCGCUUGGCCGAAACUGACGCUGAGGCACGAAAGCGUGGGGAGCGAACAGGAUUAGAUACCCUGGUAGUCCACGCCGUAAACGAUGAUGACUCGAUGUUGCGACACACUGUAAGCGUCUUAGCGAAAGCGUA